rnacentral:pre_miRNA from 1 species
AGACUAUCUAGGAAAUAUUGAACUAAUACAAAUUUUAGUUCAAUAUACCGGAUGGUCUGG